UACGAAGGGGGCUAGCGUUGUCCGGAAUCACUGGGCGUAAAGGGCGCGUAGGCGGCUUCUCAAGCGUGUGGUGAAAGUCCGGGGCUCAACCCCGGAUCGGCCGUGCGGACUGGGGAGCUCGAGUUCUGUAGAGGCGGGUGGAAUUCCGGGUGUAGCGGUGGAAUGCGUAGAGAUCCGGAAGAACACCGGUGGCGAAGGCGGCCCGCUGGGCAGAGACUGACGCUGAGGAGCGAAAGCGUGGGGAGCGAACAGG
rnacentral:rRNA from 1 species